rnacentral:rRNA from 1 species
GACGAACGCUGGCGGCGUGCCUAAUACAUGCAAGUCGAACGCAGUGGGGACGGGUGAGUAACACGUGGGUAACCUCCCAUCAGAGGGGAUAACCCUUGGCAACAGGUGCUAAACCGAUACUGAUGGAUGAACCCGCGGUGCAUUAGCUAGGUGGUGAGGUAACGGCGCACCAAGGCCACGAUGACUAGCGGGCCUGAGAGGGGGAUCGGCCACACGGGGACUGAGACACGGCCCAGACUCCUACGGGAGGCAGCAGGAGGGAAGCUUCGGCAAUGGACGAAAGUCUGACCGAGCAACGCCGCGUGAGUGAAGAAGGUUUUCGGAUCGUAAAACUCUGUUGUUAGAGAAGCGGUAUCUAACCAGAAAGCCACGGCUAACUACGUGCCAGCAGCCGCGGUAAUAC